UCUAAGAUAUGUCAUAUUUUUUCAUUGUUGUAUUAUAGUGAAUGAGUAAUCCAACGAUGUCAGGCCCUUUUUUGCCCUACAAGAUGUGCAUGAUUGACUUGUGAAAAGAUUAAGGAAAUUGUAGUUUUUUUGGGGUCGGAUGGGAAUUCUGGCUUUGCUAAAUCUUUUCAAAGCAAUUUUAAUUCUCGAGCAGAAUUUUGAUCUGCUUUUCGUGAUCCUUCGUCAUGCGCUAGAGGUGAAUUUGCAGCCUUGGGGGUUGAACCAAAGAGCAUGUACCGAACCUGCAAAAGAGUUGCUUAGCUGAUGAAUGAUUUUUGUUCUGAAGUUCUCAUCUCUAUUUGCAUCAAAUGCUAUGACAUUUUAGGUGGUCUGGUUGUCUCUUACCAAAGAAAUCAGUCACAAAAGCUGUGGAAAAGAAAUUAAUGAAACUCUCAAGAACUUUGCACUAUUUACAAAGUGCCGCGACUCUUUUACAAAAAUACAUUGACAAAAAUGGAAUGUGGUGCGAAAAUCAUCAAUGCUGAAUGAGGAUUAGCUCGCGCUUUGGUUUAGCAUCUCAUUGUACUGAAGGUAAGAAAUUUGCCUUUGCAACUUCGUUUGUUCAUAGAAUUUAGCUAUGAACUGCUCUGCUCUUGCGUCGAUCCCUCGAUCUUCCUCAAUUACCACUCUUCCAUCCUCCGCCUGCUCCUCAUCGAAAUGAGUUCCCUCUUCGCCUCCGUUUUCAAGGAAGCUCUGCCUCACGGCUUCAUACCCAUAGCACAGUCGGUCGUCCUCGUCAAACUCUGGGUCAAAAUCGACGUGGGGGUUUAUGCACGGUAUGUGCGGCAAGGGAAACCGCAUCGGCCCCGGGCGAUGCAUCUUCACGUGGACAACCGGGGUCUUAUCAAAGGAGAGCUCACGCUCCCUGUACCAGAUCUGGCUGCGCGGCGUCGCCUGGCCGAUGGUCUUGAGGAACUUGGGCACAAGGCCGAGCUGCAACUUGAACGCCCCGCCUUUCCUCGCCCAGAGCAGCGCCAGGCGCAGGAGGUUCCACGCGCGGCGAGAAACCCCGGACGUCUUCCUCGGCAUCUUUUCUCGGUCUCUAGCUGAGUAGUGUUUUCUUUGAGAAAGUCUUGCAGCUGAAAAAGGAUAAAUGAGAGAAGAUGAAAAGAGAGUGUGGAGGGUGUGAGAUGACUGAUGAAAUGGGGGUUAGCUUUGUAUGGGGCCUUUUUCCAGAUUUUGCUGAGCUGGAUGUGUACAAAAAUGAUCAGAAAGCUGUCUAUGUUUUAGGAUGAUCUGUGGGAAUGAGCAGAGCUUGGAAGGUGUUUAUAUAUGGAUUGGAAUUUUGUAUGGCACGCGGUGCUGUGGAGACAGCAGUUUCGUGUGGGGAUGCGAAUAGUGGGCGGCGGGAUCUGGGGACACAACGCGGUUGGACGCGCUGCAUCAUUGUUGUUUUCAGAUGCUUAUUACUUUAUUUCUCCCCGUUCCCGUUGAUCGAAAUUUGGCGAGUCCGAUUAAUCUUGAUAAGUGAGGAUAAUUGUUCAAAAAAUCAUAAACUUUUUGUACAGUAACUAAUUUAAAUCUCAAAAAUUUCGAUUAUGUCAGAUAUAAUUUUGAACCUAUUGUACGGUAAUCAAUUUGGCCAUAAACCUUUCAAUCGUGUCAAUUUAGCUAUAAACAUUUUGAUUGUUUGUCAAUUUAGUCAUAAGCCUGAACGAGUUGUCAAUAUAGUCAUUUUAGGUAAUUUUGGCCGAACAUCACUCAAAGACUAUAUUGGCAAAUUAUUAAAAUGUUUAAAAUUGAAUCGACAAAUCGUCAAUACGUUUAUGAAUAAAUUAGUGUAAUUGAAAGAUUUAGAACUAAAAUGACAAUUUAAAAUUUAAAAUCAUAUUGGGCAUCUUAAUUGGACAAUUUUCCCUCAAUAAGUGUAUGGGUAUGGUCCCAUCACUCACAUGCAAUGGAUACGACUCUUAAAAAGGGCUGUGGGUAUGCUCUCAAAUUACUUUGAGUUGAAGUCAUAUAAUUGAAUGGAUGAAAUGUUGAUUAUAAAAGCUCUUAACCCCUUAAUUCACAGCUAUUUUUUUCUUUUCUUUUCUUUUUGUCAGAAUUAACAGCUAUUCAAAGUGCCGCAAAAGGAUUUUUUUUAAAAGCAAUGUGUUGACGUUUGUUAUCAAGGCUCUUGUUAAGCAAUCUACUAAAAAAUCAUUUACAUUUUCCAAUGAUUGAUUGUUGUAAUGUUAUAUGCAAUGAAUAUAAUAAAAAAAUGAAUAAUUUCAAAUAAAAUUAGCAGGAGAAGUGAAUAUUAUAUAUUUGAAGCGACUCUUGUCUGCGGUUUUUUUUUUUGCUGUUGUUGGUUUUCCCUAUUUUUUGGCCGAAUUGAUGAUGUGGUCGUAAUCUUGUCAUGAUAUUUACCUUUGCUGGUAGUUGGGGAACUUAAAAAAGAAAAAGGAAAAAUGAGUGAAUAAUUUUUUUUUUUUGGAUUAAUAUCUUGAAAAAUCCUAAAUAUGUACAUGUGUGACAAAUUUACCUAAAACUAAUUUUUGACCAUGAAAAACCCCAAACUGGUACAACUGCGACAAAUUUACUCAAACUGACCAUAAAAAAACUUGAAAUCAGUAUACUUGUGAUAAAUUUACCUUAACCUAAUUUAUUUAACCACCAAAAACCCUAAAUUGGUACAUUCGUGACAAAUAUGCCCUCCAUUAAAUUGGAUUAAUACCACAAAAAAUCACAAAAAUUGUAUAACCGUGACAAACGAAGAGUAGAAUUGUAAAUCGGUAUCCAAUUAACUAUUGCAUGUUAUUCAAUUGAGUAAUUUGAUAGUAAAAUUCAACGGAAAUUAACAUAGUGUAAAUUUGUCAUAAAUGUAUCGGUUUAGGGUAAAUUUGUCAAAGAUUUAUCAGUUUGGGUUAUAUGGUCAAAAAAAUUAGUUUUGGAUAAUCUGUUAUAAGUGUAUCAAUUUUGGGUUUUUUAGGAUAUUAACCCUUUUUUAAUAUUUAUAUUGAAAUGGAUAAAGUCCUAAUGUUAUAAUAUAAUUCACCUAACGAAACCUAAUUCAAUGGAGUGAACAUUUUUUCUCAUCUUGCUUUAUCUUUCAGAUUCACUCAAAUUAUUUUUUUUUCCUUCUCAAUCGAUCUUACGGAUGAAAUUCCAAGAUUAUGGCAAAACUUCCUUUUAAAAGAUCUUUAUCUCCUAUCCAAAUGCGAGAAGAAUCCAACAAGCAAAUCCUCAACGUACCAAAUAGUCAUCCUUUGAUCUAGGAGAUUUAUUUGUACUAUCAUUAUGAUAUAUUGAUCUAAUGACAAUGUCUAGGUUGAUUUAAUUUUUAACUAACUUUGCAUUUGAAUCAUGAAAAUUGUCUAAGUCAAGGCUAGUCAUGUCAUGUACGACAGUAUAUACUAACCAUACCACUAACGAUUUAUUGUCCAAAUUGGCCGAAAGAACUAAAUUGAUGAAUUGUUAAAAGAAUUAAGAGUAAAUUGCCAAAUUAUCAAAAGAUUUAUAACUAAAUUGGAACAAUUAAAAUAUUUAUGACUAAAUUAAUAAGUCUCAAAAGGUUUAGGACUGACAUGUCACAAUUAAAAGAUUCAGAAUUGAAUCAAUGACAGUACAAUAGAUUUAAGAUUUUUUGAAUAAUUUUUCCUGAAAUUUCAGGUCGUCCUUAUGAAGUUCUGCCCUUUUUUUUUUAAUUUAUAUUCUCGCAUUUUCCAUUAGAAACACUCGGCGACAUCACAUUCAUUCACUAGGAAGCCAAUCAUGGAUCAUGACCCCGUGAAUGGUGGGCAUUUAACAAUCUGGCCCCACAUUUUAAAUCACAAAAUACUAAACAAAGGUUAAGGGCUUUUGUCCAAGUAAACGGUUGUUGAUCCUAGAGAGAGAGAGGGAGGGAGGGAAGGAUGAUGGGCUGUAAUGUUGCCUGGAUUCUUCUAAACCGUGUCAGGAAACUUCACCUAUUUGAUAGGAUGCUUCGUUUUUUUCCGAGUGAUUAUAAGCCAAGACCUUUCAAGGUCGACAAUUAAUUAUUUAUAACACAGGUAAUAGUUAAAGUCCUUAAAAAUUACAGCAUAGAGAGGGGAGAAAAAUGACACCCCCAAGAAUCUAUAGGUUUAUGUAUUUCGGAUUGAUUCUUAACAUUUUAUUUAAAUUUGUGUAGUCCAUGCAUUUUGACUUUUUUUCAUUUAAAACACUUCAAAACUCUUAUCUUCUGCCGCCCUAUACAACUUUUCCAUAAAUUUAUUCAAUAAUUUUUAAAAAAUUAGUGGAAUUUUUUUUAUUAAUCAAAAUAAAUCUUCAAUUCUCAAUUGACCAACAACUGAAAAGUUGACUCUCGUUUAUAGACUUUACUUAAGGUCAUCAUGAACACAGAUUUCUUUUCAUUUUAAGGAAGUAUUAUCUUGUCAUUUUCUUCUUAUUUCUAAGACGACAGUGCAAAUUGAACUUGACUAAAAUUGCCGGUUUGGCCCAAAUCUCAUGGCAAUUCGUGGGCAACCAGCAAGUCAUUAUAAUAUUUAAUUGAAUCCAAGCCAAAAAAAAAAAUAAUAAAUAAGAAAAGGGCUGUGAUGCCCAUUUGCUAGUUGUCUCGUCACCUUUAAAUUAAUCAAGAAUUUUAAAAUAAAUCUAAGGCUCCAUUUGGUAGCAUUCCUAUGUUUCUAUUUUUCUAUUCUUUUAUACCCCGAAAUAAAAAAAGAAAAAAAGAAAUCCAUUUAGUAAUGUCAGUUAAUUUUUCUAUUUCACAAAAAGUUGUCAAGGAAUAUAUUUGAAAUAAAAACAAGAAAUAGAAAAAAAAAGUUACUUCUUAUCCAUGGGAAUAAUUUUUGGAAGUAAUUUUCUUUCUUUUAUUCUUCUUCCCUCUUCUAACUAGUCCAUCGCCCACCGUUGGUUGCCAUUGGCUCUAGCCGCCGGCCAUGGCCAAUGGUCGCUGUCGACCCUCGCCUUUACCGCUUGGCGACCAACUAGAGGAGGAAGAAGAAGAGAGGAAAAAAAAAACAACAAAAAAGAAGAAGAAAAAUCUUUAAAUAUUAUUAAAAAAUUAAAAGAAAUUUUAUGUUACAAAAAAAAAAUUAUAAGUCGAAUUGAACAAAAUCCUAUUCUCUUUCUAUUUCGAGAAUAGAAAUUUUGUGUAGUUAUUAAGGAAUCCAUAAUAAUCAUUUUAUUUCUAUUUCAGAAUUUCUAUUUCAGAACUAUUUUUUUGUUUCAAACUUGCUUUUAGAAAAGAAAUAUGUUUGGUAACACAAUUUUAUUUUUCUAUUUCUAGAAUAAGUUUUUAAUUCAAAAAUAGGUUUUGAAUAAAAAUGAUAAGUAAAAAAAUUUCCCUUCUUUAUUUUUGGAAUAUAAAUGGAGAUAAAAACUAUUCUUAUCGCUUAUCUUCAUUGCUACCGCCCACCAUCCAUCGCUUUCAUCUGCCAUCGGCUACCCUCUACCAAUCGUUGCCACUGUUCGCCUCUUGCUGCCUGCCACCGAUCACCAUUGGUCGGCCCUUGCCAUCCACCACCACUUGGGAGGGAGAUAUUUUGUGUCAUUAUCAAAAAAAUUUCUAUUUUAGAAAUAUAAUUUUUGUGUCAUUAUCAAAUGUAUAUUUUUGCUUAAAAACUCAUCCAAUGAUAUAAAUAUAAAGAUAGAAAAAUCUAUUUCUGUUUCAGAAAUCAAUUUCUGACAAGAAUGGUUAUCAUUCACGCUUAAACGUGUUCAUUUACUUAGAAAUUAUUUUAGGAAAUAAAAAAGAAAAAAUUAUUUCUGGAAAGAAACUUAUUCCGGGAACAAAAAUGUUACCAAAAACACCCUAAUUCAUUAGUUGAAGCUGAACCAUUUCUUUUGAGAACUAGCCUCUAUUUCAAGUGGCAGGUGAGAGUGUCGAGUUGCUAAGAGCAGUGAAUUGUGUGGAGACUUUUUUAUGGUUCAAUGGCGGAAAUCCCAGAAUCGAAAAUGCGAAAGUUUAGUAGUGCCCAAGUAUAGAUGAAAUGGAAGUGCAAAUGAUCAGAAGUCUCCAAAUGAGCUAGUGACUUGAUAUUUAAAGUGUUAGGGAAAUUAACAGGCGCGAUGACACCAUGAGAAAUCGACGUUAGAUAGAAUGCCGCUUGCCACUAUUUUCCCUCCGAUCUAUCUCCUAAAGAAUCAUUAUAUGCUAAUUGUCAAUUGUCUUCCGCUGGGGCUUGGAAAGAGUCGAAUUUAGGACCUACAGUUUUGAUAUAAUGUGAGAUUUCAUGGGUAUGUUUAUAAUUAUUGUAAAAGCUUAAGUUGUUACAAGAAUGUAUGAUUUAUUAUUUAAAUAUUCUAAAACCAACGAAGCUAAGAAACCUUCCUGCAUUAAUAAUCAUAUAUUACCAAACGCGCCCUUAGCUGAUGCAGAAUGAUUUUUGUUCUGAAGUUCUUCUCAUCUCUAUUUGCAUCAUAUGCUAUGAGAUUUCAGGUGUUCUGCUCGUCUCUUACAAAAGAAAUCAGUCACAAAAGCUGUCGAAAAAAAAUUAAUGAAACUCUCAAGAACUUUGCACUAUUUACAAAGUGCCGCGACUCUUUUACAAAAAUACAUUGACAAAAAUGGAAUGUGGUGCGAAAAUCAUAAAUGCUGAAUGAGGAUUAGCUCGCGCUUUGGUUUAGCAUCUCAUUGUACUGAAGGUAAGAAAUUUGCCUUUGCAACUUCGUUUGUUCAUAGAAUUUAGCUAUGAACUGCUCUGCUCUUGUGUCGAUCCCUCGAUCUUCCUCAAUUUCCACUCUUCCAUCCUCCGCCUGCUCCUCAUCGAAAUGAGUUCCCUCUUCGCCUCCGUUUUCAAGGAAGCUCUGCCUCACGGCUUCAUACCCAUAGCACAGUCGGUCGUCCUCGUCAAACUCUGGGUCAAAAUCGACGUGGGGGUUUAUGCACGGUAUGUGCGGCAAGGGAAACCGCGUCAACCCCGGGCGAUGCAUCUUCACGUGGACAACCGGGGUCUUAUCAAAGGAGAGCUCGCGCUCCCUGUACCAGAUCUGGCUGCGCGGCGUCGCCUGGCCGAUGGUCUUGAGGAACUUGGGCACAAGGCGGAGCUGCAACUUGAACGCCCCGCCUUUCCUCGCCCAGAGCAGCGCCAGGCGCAGGAGGUUCCACGCGCGGCGAGAAACCCCAGAUGUCUUCCUCGGCAUCUUUCCUCACUCUCUAGCUGAGAAGUGUUUGCUUUGAGAAAGUCUUGCAGCUGAAAAAGGAUAAAUGAGAGAAGAUGAAAAGAGCGUGUGCAGGGUGAGAGAUGACUGAUUAAAUGGGGGUUAGCUUUGUAUGAGGCCUUUCUCAGAUGUUGCUGAGCUGGAUGUGUACAAAAAUGAUCAGAAAGCUGUCUAUGUUUUAGGAUGAUCUGUGAGAAUGAGCAGAGCUUGGAAGGUGUUUAUAGAUGGAUGGGAAUUUUGUAUGGCACGCGGUGUUGUGGAGACAGCAGUUUCGUGUUGGGAUGUGAAUAGUGGGCGGCGGGAUCUGGGGACACAACGCGGUUGGACGCGGUGUAGCUGCAUCAUUGUUGUUUUCAGAUGUUUAUUACUUUAUUUCUCCCCGUUCUCAUUGAUGGGCAUCUCGAAAUUUGGCGAUUAAUCUCAAUAAGUAGGAUAAUUGUCCCAAAAAUCAUAAACUUAUUGUACAAUAGCUAAUUUAAGUCUAAAAAAUUUCGACUAUGUCAGAUAUAAUUUUGAACUUACUAUACGGCAACCAAUUAGAUCAUAAACCUUUCAAUCAUGUUAAUUUAGUUAUAAAGAUUUUGACUAUUUGUCAAUGUAGUCAUAAACCUUUGAACGAGUCGUCAAUAUAGCCAUUUCAAGUAAUUUUGGCCGAACGUCACUCGAAGACUAUAUUGGCAAAUUAUUAAAAGGUUUAAAUUUGAAUUGACAAAUCGUCAAUACAUUUAUGAAUAAAUUAGCGUAAUUGAAAAGUUUAAAGCUAAAAUGACGUCAUUUAAAAUUUAAAAUCAUAUUGGGCAUUGUAAGUGGACAAUUUUCUCUCAAUAAGUGUGGGUAUGGUCCCAUCACUCACAUGUAUCGGAUAUGACUCUUAAGAAGGGCUGUGGGUGUGCUCUCAAAUUACUUUAAGUUGAAGUCAUAUGAUUGAAUGGAUGAAAUGUUGAUUAUAAAAGCUCUUAACCCCUUAAUUCACAGCUUUUUUUUUUCUUUUUUUUUGUCAGAAUUAACAGCUAUUCAAAGUGCCGCAAAAACAUUUUUUUUUAAAAGCAAUGCGUUAACGUUUGUUAUCAAGGCUCUUGUUAAGCAAUCUACCAAAAAAUCCUUUACAUUUUCCAGUGAUUGAUUGUUGUAAUGUUAUAUGCAAUGAAUAUAAUAAAAAAGAUGAAUCAUUUCAAAUAAAAUUAGCAGGAGAAGUGAAUAUUAUAUAUUUAAAGUGACUCUUGUCUGUGGUUUUUUUGUUGUUGUUGAUUUUCCCUAUUUUUUGGCCAAAUUGAUGAUGUGCUCGUAAUCUCGUCAUGAUAUUUACUUCUGCUGAUAGCUGGGGAACUUAAAAAAGAAAAAAGAAAAGAAAAGGAGUGAGCAUUUUUUUUGGGGAUCUUGACCCCGUGAAUGGUGGGCAUUAACAAUCUGGCCCCUCAUUUUAAAUCACAAAAUACUAAGCAAAGGUUGAGGGCUUUUGUCCAAGUAAACGGUUGUUGAUCCUAGAGAGAGAGAGAGAGAGAGAGGGAAGAAUUAUGGGCUGUACUGUUGCCUGGAUUCUUCUAAACCGUGUCAUGAAACUUCACCUAUUGAUAGGAUGCUUCGUUUUUUUUUUUUUCCGAGUGAUUCUAAGCCAAGACCUUUCAGGUCAACAGUUAAUUAUUUUUAACACAAGUAGUAGUUAAAGUCCUUAAAAAAUACAGCAUAGAGAGGGAGAAAAUUGACAACCCAAGAAUCUAUAGUUCUAUGUAUUUCGGAUUGAUUUCUUAACAUUUUAUUUGGUUUGUGUAGUUCAUGCAUUUUGACUUUUUUUUUUCAUUUAAAACACUUCAAAACUCUUGUCUUCUGCCGCCCUAUACAACUUUUCCACAAGUUUAUUCAAUAAUAUUUUAAAAUUUAGUGGAAUUUUUUUUAUUGAUCAAAAUAAUAAUAAUAAUAAUAAUAAUAAUAAUAAUAAUAAUAAUAAUAAUAAUAAUAAUAAUAAUAAUAAUAAUAAUAAUAAUAUUUCAAUUCUCGAGUGUAGGUGCCUUUGAGGAAGGCUGGGGACAGGCUCGAAAUAAAAAGAAGUAGCAGGUUUAUAAAUUAAAGGAGUCUGAUCUCACUCCUUCUAUGAAAACUGGUGAAGCUACUCCCAAAUCAUUGUUGCCCUCUACUUCUAUGAUAAUACGGAAGAAACAAGUGCUACCUCAGCAAGGUGUUGACUUGGCUCCAUCCUCUCCUGCCGGUACUGCUCAUCUCUUGGAACCUAACUCCUUGGUCCCUUCACAUAGCUUGAAUGGAGAUUUAGCUGAUGAGACAAGUAACUUGAGUAGCUCAAAUGAGGAGGACCAUAUCUUGGUUUGCUCCUUUACUCCUUAGGUUGCCACACCUAAGGCUUCUAAGCUUGCUACUCCAAAGCCUACUUCCCAGCAGGUCAAAUCACUGUAGGAUCCUAACACUGACCAAGGUCACUUUGCUCCUAAAGUCUCCUACUCAGCCCAAGCCAGUGGCCAGCCGGCGGCGUGCUGGCAAGCGCUGAUGUUCUUGCCUAUCUAUCUUGUUUUAUAUAUAUGAAUAUAGGUUUAUGGAAUAUUAGGGGUCUAGUAGGUCUCAUUAGGCAAGCAUAAGUCAGAAACCUUAUUAGCUCUAAUAAUAUUUGCUGUGUUGGUCUUUUGGAGACCAAAGUUCCAGAGUCCAUUUUCCCCUUCAUCUCUUCGAGACUCGUGUCGGGCUGGAUUUAGUGCUCCAACUAUGAUUAUUCCCCUAGAGGGAGAAUUUGGCUUGGUUGGAAUCCUUUCUCUGUGAAUUUUGUUGUGUCUUCUUUUAAUGCAUAGGCAAUCCAUGGCAAGCUCAAGUUCCUUUAUACAGGAGCUGAAUUCUGCCUCUCGGUUAUAUAUGCGAAGCACACCUUUAUGUCUCGUCGGCCAUUAUGGGAGGAACCUACUCUUCUUAGCACUAGCCUUCUAGAUUUUCCUUGGCUGGUGGCGGGGGAUUUCAACGCCAUUUGGGACUUGAUGGAUCGAAUAGGUAGCUUGGAUACUUGGCUUCGUUCUUAUGAAGAGUUUGGACACUGCUUAGCCCAGACAAUAUUAGAAGACCUAAGAUAUGUUGGCUAUGUUAUACUUGGUCUACUUCUUUGGGUGCCAACGAAAACUGAGGAAGAUUGACAAGGUAUUGGUAAAUACGAAAUGGAGCCAUGACUUCUCUUUCUCAGAGGCCUCCUUCCUUGCCCCGGGCAUUUCCGACCAUACUCCAAUGGUUUUUAGACUCUUGGCUACUUCUUCCUACAAAAAAACCUUUCAAUUUUUUUAAUUUCUGGAUGAAGCACCCGGAUUUUCACACAAUAGUUUCUCAGGUGUGGGAGAAUUCGAUAGCUGGAACUCCUAUGUUCAAACUGUCUCACAAGUUGAAGGCCCUCAAGUACCGCCUCAAGCAGCUCAACAGGGAGUCUUUCUCUGAUAUUUCGAUCAGGACAACCAAUGCUAGGAAGGCUCUUCGGUGCACUUAGGAUGCCCUUCAGCAAGACCCGAGUAAUUUAUGGCUUGCUGGAUUAGAAAUGGAUCACAUUCGAAAUUUCUCAGAUCUCCAUCUACAGGAGGAAUCCUUUUAUAGACAGAAAUCUAGGGUUAGGUGGAUAAAGGAAGGUGAUUAGAACACCAAGUUCUUUUAUCACUCUGUCAACAUAAGGCAUCUGAUGAAUAGAGUUCUAUUGGUUGCGAAUGCUCAGGGUAUUAUUGUGACUGAUCCUGGUGAGGUUCAGCAGCCCUUUGUUUCCAAUUUUCAUAAUCUCCUGGCGCUGAUAGACAUUCCAACCUGUCCAGCAAUGCAAGAGAUCCAGGCGGUUCUUCAGCACUCCCUCAACUCGGAACAGGUUCGUAGCCUAUCUCGUCCUGUAACGAACUUGGAAAUCCAUGAUAGAUUGUUCUCUCUAACUAGGGGCAAAGCUCCUGGACCGGAUAGCUUCAAUUUUGAAUUUUUUAAACACAACUGGGACGUUGUAGGUCAUUUGGUCACAGAAGCGGUCAAGGACUUCUUUAUCUCCGGUAACUUGUUGCGUGAGAUAAAUAAUACUAUUUUAGCCUUGGUGCCUAAGAUUCCUAAUGUGUCCAUGGUCUCUAACUAUGGGCCCAUUGCUUGUUGUAAUACAAUUUACAAGUGCUUCAUGAAGGUUAUAGCUAAUCGUUUGGUGGCUAUUCUUUGCUCUAUAAUUAGUCUACCUCAAAAUGCAUUUGUUAAAGGCCGGAGAAUCAAUGACAAUAUCUUGCUGGCUCAGGAAUUAUUCAAUGGAUUCCACAUUGAUCCUUACUUGCCAAACUGUGCUAUUAAGGUAGAUUUUCAAAAGGCAUAUGAUACCAUUGAUUAGGAUUUUUUAGAACUUACUCUUUUUGUGUUUGGCUUUCCUAAUCACUUGGUUGGGCUUAUCAUGACUUGCGUUCGUUCCCCUAAAUUCUUCGUUUCCAUCAAUGGGGAGCUUCAUGGCUUCUUCUCUAGUGGAUGUGGUUUACGUCAAUGGGACCCUAUGUCCCCUUACCUCUUCACUUUGGCCAUGGAGGUAUUUUCUGGGAUCCUACUUUUGAAAUCUUGAUAGCCGAGCGUCAAAUUCUUUUGGAGGUGCAAAUCUACUUGCCUUUCACAUCUUUUCUUUGUGGACGAUGUCUUCCUUUUUAGUGAAGCAAACAUGGCCUCUAUCUCUCUCUUCAAGGAUGGGCUAGAUAUCUUCUCUUCUUGGAGUGGGCUGAGACCUAAUAUGAGCGAGAGUGAAGUUUUUCUAGUAGGUGGGACUAAGAUUUCUCAUAAUCAAAUUCUUCAAGUUCUCGGUUUCCAGGAGGGCAAGCUGCCGGUCCGGUAUCUUGGUGUCCCAAUAAUUUCUUCGCGACUUGGUAAGGCUUGUUGGAGAAAUCUUUUUGGAAUAUUUUGAAGCUGACAAAACGUUUCUAUCAGUCUAGUCUGAAGUUUUGCAGACUCUUCUAUUAAAGUUUGAAGACCUUCGGACUACCAGACUCAAGACUCAAAGUCUAUUCUCAUUGACAGUUACUAAUCCAUUGAAGAAAGGCUAUCUAGAACUACUUCAUUAAGGAGUUUGGCCUUAUCGACUGGAGAAGAUCUCUUGGCUGGAUAAGACAUAACGGAUUCCUUUAUUCAAAUCAAGAAUGAUUAAAGAUCCGAUGAUUGACGAAGUAUUCCUGGAAGGUUCUACUUAUGGAAACCAAGAUCCUGAUUGUAUGGGCGAGCAAGAUUGAUGGGCUAUCGACAUGUUCCUUUAAUAGCUCGAAUAAUCUUCCUAAUUGAUUCUGUCCAACGGGAGGAUUGGAAGAAUCCCUUUGGUAAGUGCCAACGGGUAUGGUGGCACAAAGGAGUAUAAAAGGAAGACGUUCCAGUUGUUCGAGGUGUGCACGAUAGAAGAAUUCCAAAGUCUGAAGCUCUUUGAUUCUUAGUCAAUUCAUUUACUGAGCGAAAUCUUGUACACAAAAGAGAGUCUAUACUUUGAGAUACCUUGAGGAAGUGUGAUAGAAUAUCUACACUGUGGAAUCAAGGGAAAGCAGUGCUGUAAUAUCUCUUUUGUUCAUAGUGAAAUCCAGCAAGUGGGCUGUCAGUGCAGAAGAGUGGACGUAGGCUUGGAAUAAGCCGAAUACGAAUAAGACCGNNNNNNNNNNNNNNNNNNNNNNNNNNNNNNNNNNNNNNNNNNNNNNNNNNNNNNNNNNNNNNNNNNNNNNNNNNNNNNNNNNNNNNNNNNNNNNNNNNNNNNNNNNNNNNNNNNNNNNNNNNNNNNNNNNNNNNNNNNNNNNNNNNNNNNNNNNNNNNNNNNNNNNNNNNNNNNNNNNNNNNNNNNNNNNNNNNNNNNNNNNNNNNNNNNNNNNNNNNNNNNNNNNNNNNNNNNNNNNNNNNNNNNNNNNNNNNNNNNNNNNNNNNNNNNNNNNNNNNNNNNNNNNNNNNNNNNNNNNNNNNNNNNNNNNNNNNNNNNNNNNNNNNNNNNNNNNNNNNNNNNNNNNNNNNNNNNNNNNNNNNNNNNNNNNNNNNNNNNNNNNNNNNNNNNNNNNNNNNNNNNNNNNNNNNNNNNNNNNNNNNNNNNNNNNNNNNNNNNNNNNNNNNNNNNNNNNNNNNNNNNNNNNNNNNNNNNNNNNNNNNNNNNNNNNNNNNNNNNNNNNNNNNNNNNNNNNNNNNNNNNNNNNNNNNNNNNNNNNNNNNNNNNNNNNNNNNNNNNNNNNNNNNNNNNNNNNNNNNNNNNNNNNNNNNNNNNNNNNNNNNNNNNNNNNNNNNNNNNNNNNNNNNNNNNNNNNNNNNNNNNNNNNNNNNNNNNNNNNNNNNNNNNNNNNNNNNNNNNNNNNNNNNNNNNNNNNNNNNNNNNNNNNNNNNNNNNNNNNNNNNNNNNNNNNNGGUCAACCAAUUUCUGAUCCCAUGAAGGUAAACAAGUUACUACGUGGACUCUCCAAGGAUUGGAAUCACAUAAAGACCUCAAUAAGAGAGACACGAAGAAUCAUGCCACUAUCUGUCGAUGAGUUGGUUGGAACUCUUCAGUUUUAUGAAGUGGAACGAAUCAAUGAAGACGAAGAUCCUAAAGGUAAGAAAUCCAUUGCAUUAAAAUCCAUUGAUGAUAAUGAUGUCACAGAUUCUAAAAACAAUAUGGAUGAUGAGGAGCUUGCUCUAAUAAUAAGAAGAUUCAGAAAGCUGAACAGAAAAGGAAGAAGAUUCAAUCCAAAGAAACAGAGCUUUCAAAAGCAACAGACCAAGUCUGUUGAUGAUGAUGAAUCAAACAAAGAUGUAGUCUGCUUUGAAUGUAAGAAAAAGGGACACAUCACACCCAACUGUCCUCUUCUGAAAAAGAAGAAAGGAAAAGCUGAAAAGUAUCGAAAGGCUCUUAAAGCAGAAACCUGGAGUGAUACAGAGUGUGAAGAAAGUGAUGAUGAUUAUGCCAAUAUAUGUCUGAUGGCACAAUCGGAUUCAGAUUCAAACUCCGAGACAGACUCAGAUUCAGACAGUGAAUUUGAGGUCACUAUCAAGAAAAAGGUAAAAUGGUAUCUGGAUAGUGGAUGCUCAAGACAUAUGACAGGAGACUCAAAUAGCUUCAUAAAGCUCGUACAAGUAAAUGGUGGAAAAGUCUAAUUUGGAGGAAACAGUAAAUGGAAGAAUUGUGGGAUUUGGAACUGUAAGAUCGGAAACUUUACCAUAAGCAAUGUUCCCUAGUGGAUGACGUAACUACAUCUGCUCAGUAUAGAUCUUGUCUCAAAAAAUCCCCUUCAAAAUAAAUUUNNNNNNNNNNNNNNNNNNNNNNNNNNNNNNNNNNNNNNNNNNNNNNNNNNNNNNNNNNNNNNNNNNNNNNNNNNNNNNNNNNNNNNNNNNNNNNNNNNNNNNNNNNNNNNNNNNNNNNNNNNNNNNNNNNNNNNNNNNNNNNNNNNNNNNNNNNNNNNNNNNNNNNNNNNNNNNNNNNNNNNNNNNNNNNNNNNNNNNNNNNNNNNNNNNNNNNNNNNNNNNNNNNNNNNNNNNNNNNNNNNNNNNNNNNNNNNNNNNNNNNNNNNNNNNNNNNNNNNNNNNNNNNNNNNNNNNNNNNNNNNNNNNNNNNNNNNNNNNNNNNNNNNNNNNNNNNNNNNNNNNNNNNNNNNNNNNNNNNNNNNNNNNNNNNNNNNNNNNNNNNNNNNNNNNNNNNNNNNNNNNNNNNNNNNNNNNNNNNNNNNNNNNNNNNNNNNNNNNNNNNNNNNNNNNNNNNNNNNNNNNNNNNNNNNNNNNNNNNNNNNNNNNNNNNNNNNNNNNNNNNNNNNNNNNNNNNNNNNNNNNNNNNNNNNNNNNNNNNNNNNNNNNNNNNNNNNNNNNNNNNNNNNNNNNNNNNNNNNNNNNNNNNNNNNNNNNNNNNNNNNNNNNNNNNNNNNNNNNNNNNNNNNNNNNNNNNNNNNNNNNNNNNNNNGUCUGGGAAUUAACUCGUAAACCAAAAGGUAUAUCUAUUAUCGGAGCUAAAUGGGUUUUCAGGAACAGAUGAACGAGAAAGGUAAAGUCGUAAGAAACAUAGCAAGACUCGUGGCCAAGGGAUAUACGCAAGAAGAAGGGAUAGACUAUGACAAGACUUACGCACCAGUAGCAAGGUUAGAAGCAAUUCGAUUAUUAUUUGCUUUUGCUUGUUAUAAGAAUUUCAGGUUAUUCUAAAUGGACGUCAAAAGUGCUUUCCUGAAUGGAUUUAUCCAUGAGGAAGUUUAUGUGGAACAACCACCUGGGUUUGAAGACCCAAGGAAGCCAGACUCAGUAUUCAGACUGAAAAAAACCUUGUAUGGAUUAAAGCAAGCACCUCGAGCUUGGUACGACAGACUGAGUAAGUUUUUAAUUCAAAAUGGCUUUGAAAAAGGUAAAGUAGACACUACUCUGUUCAUCAAAAGAGAAAGCAAAAAUUUUCUGCUUGUUCAAAUAUAUGUUGAUGAUAUCAUUUUUGGAUCCUCAAAUGAAAGUUUGUGCAAGAAAUUCUCUAAGUCUAUGCAGGAUGAAUUUGAAAUGAGCGAACUAACCUUCUUUCUUGGACUUCAAGUGAAACAAUUGAAGGAAGGGACUUUUAUUCAUCAAGAAAAAUAUGCUAAUGAUCUUGUCAAAAAGUUUGGACUGAAAAAUUGCAAAAAGACUGAUAUACCAAUUCCAAGUUCCUUGAAGAUACACAAAGAUGAAGGAGGAAAGAAAGUUGACCAGAAGCUAUACAGGAGUAUCAUCGGUUUACUUCUUUAUCUUACUGCUUCUAGACCUGACAUUUUGUUUAGUGUUUGCAUUUGUGCUAGAUUUCAAGCAGACCCUAAAGAAUCUCAUCUAAGUUCUGCAAAGCAUAUUAUCAAAUACAUUGCUUCAACUUCAAGCAUCGGCCUUUGGUAUCCUAAAAAGGGAGACUUUACUCUCUUUGGAUAUUCAGAUGUAGAUCUAGCCGGUUGCAGAGUUGAUAGAAAGAGCACCUCGGGUACCUGUCAGUUACUUAGAAGCAGGACAAUGUCUUGGUUUUCAAGGAAGCAAAAUACAGUAGCUCUUUCUAUAGCAGAAGUAGAAUAUGUAGCUCUCGGAAGCUGUUGUUCACAAAUUCUGUGGAUAAAACAACAAUUAAGAGAUUUUGGAAUUGAAGAUUCAUGCACGGAGAUUAUCUGUGACAACACCAGUGCAAUCAAUCUUACCAAAAAUCCAAUCCUUCACUCAAGAGCAAAGCAUAUAGAGAUUCGACAUCACUUCAUUAGAGAUCAUGUUCAAAAAGGAGAAGUUUCGAUUCAGUUUGUUGACUCAAAGAACCAACUGGCGGAUAUAUUAACGAAGCCUUUGGAGAAAAAUCAAUUUGAAAUCAUCCGUUCCAGACUCAACAUCUUGAAGCUUGAAGAAGUUAAAGUCUAGAGACUUUUUAGUCUCAGACAAUCAUGGUUCCUGACUGUAAGUUAUUUUAUUAAAUCUCGUAAAGGUACGAUCUUUUAUCCAUUCAUAAUUGAUUUAUGCUAUCUUCAAUUUCCGUGAAAAGUGCAAUUUUUUUCUUUUCAAAAGAAUAAAUGGUAGUUAUCUAUUUUUGAAAAAGGUAGUUAUUUUUUUAAAAUGUAUCUUUUAACCUUCCUUUACGAUGUUUGGCAUUCCCUCGUUUCGACUAAGCUAUAUACAGUCGGUUCCUCUUCACUUAACUCCAAAACCCUAAAAAGCAUCGAUCUUCCAUUCCUGUCUUUCUCCCUUGUUUAAUCUUCAAAAAGUUGUCAUCUUUCUUGGGAAAGUCAAGCAAGGAAUCUUUCAAAGACUAAGAAAGAUGUCAUCUUCAAGAAAGUCUUCAAGAAUUGCAAGCAGGGGACCACGGCGAAUGAGUAAGGGGCCUACUCACUUUGAUCUCACCGAGGAAGAGGAGUCACCAAGUUAGCAGCAGAGCCCACAACAUUCUCAGCAGCGUCAUUCUCCACCAUCUAGUCCACAAAAUGCUGUUCAUCAACAAGAUGAAGAAAUCGUCGAAGACGCAGAUCCUGUAAGAGUUCAAAAGCCCUCUUUUAUUUAUAAGUUUUAUCGUGCUUUAAAGAGCAUUGGUACUCCAUUGAACUACAUCAAUGAGUUUCUUAAGGACAAAGGAUAUGGGAAUGAGUACAUCUUUUUGCGAAAAAAGGAGAGUUUGGAAAUUGCUCCUAAGGGGUUGGCAGAAAAAACCCUUGCAAAUAUCCCAAGUGAUCCGCAUGUUGGAGGUUUUAAUCCGAUAGAUGGAAAUGAUGAUGACAGAUUGUACAAAGAAUUUCAACUGAGAAUGGGUGUUGCGGCGAAAAUUCGAGGAAAAAGAACAUAAUUGUUUAGAUCGAAGGAAUAGAAUGAUCUAUACUCCAAAUUGUUGAAACGUGGGGUGAUAAACCCUAGGAGUGUAGAUUUUGAUUUCCUUGAUGUUGUGAAUGUCAAUUUGAGAGAAAAGUUCAGUUUUCUUCAACUUGAACAGUUCUGUUCUGACACCACAGAAGCGUAUGCUCAAUUAACUGCAUAUUUCUAUUCAAAUCUUAGUUUUUUGGAUGCGAAUAGAAUCUCCUUCAGUGUCCGAGAUCAGGACUUUGUAGUGGAUGUGGAUAUGUUGGCAGAUGUUAUUGGGGUUGAGAGAGGGAGAUAUCAACCCAUCAGUGUCUCUAUAGCUCGUGCCACAUUGGAACUUGUUAAAGAUAGAAUGACAGAAGGAAGGAUUUCGUAUUCAAGGAUGCAUGCGUUCAACAUUCUGCUUCACAAAAUUGUGAUAAAUUGCCUCAGACCCAAAUCAACUUCCAAAACUGAUGUUUCUAACUCAGAGGCAAAGCUGAUGUACGCCAUCAAUGCUGGGAAAAAGUUUUCUCUUCCUCACACUAUUCUGUUUCACAUGUAUAGAGCAGUGGUGAAGGACAAGGGCCAACUUCCUUAUCCAGGUCUUGUGUCAAAGAUAUUCAGACAUUUGAAUAUUCAGCCUCCACAAAUUCUCUGUGUUCAACCAUGUGACAAAAUGGUGGUAGGACUGAAAAUGGUGUCCAAAAUGCGUCUGAAAGAACUCGACAAGACGUUGGAGAAAUUUAAGGAGAAAACCCCUGUCAAAUCUCAUCAAGUCUCUUCUGCAGCGAAAAGAAAAGGGAAGGAGCCCAUGGUUACUCCAUCCAAAAAGAGAAAAGCUCUCAUUACUGAUGAAGAUGAUGAGGAUGACCUCACAAUUUCUGCUAUAGCAUUAAAGAAGCUGAGUCGUUCUGUUCCUGAAUCAAUAGAACGACAGGAGAAAGAAGCAGAGGAGAGAGAAGAACAGGAGAAAGAAGAAGAUACAAAAGCAGAGGAGAGAGAAGCAGAGGAGAAGGAAGAAAAGGUGAAAGAAGCUAAAGAAAAAGAAACAUACGAGGAAAGGAUUGAAGAAGAAAAAGAAAGAGAAAAUCAAGAGGAAGGAGAGCAUGAGGAAAACUCUUCUCCACCUGAAGCCAUGGAAAUAGGGGGAGAUGGUGAAAACAGAGGAAUGUCCUCAUAUCCUGUUACCAGUGAAGGAGUCAGUCACUCUCCAACAGAUCCAGAAGACAUUCAUGCCUCUCAAUUUCCUGAGGAGGGACAUGGUGCUUCAUCGCCAAAUCUGCGUGAUUAUGCUGAUAUACCAUCGUCUGCCUUUACUCCAUCAAAUCGUGCCGAAGCCAGUAUGCAGACUGAUAACUCAGCAGAUUUUCGCAGAAUCAUUGAUGUUCUUUUGGAAUUGCGGGGUCAGAUAUAUGCUUUAGAAAGUGAAGUUCAAAACUUGAAGAAUGCAGGACAAGCUUCUUCCGUUUCAUUGUCUGAUCAGAUCCAAGUCCUUGCUCUUCAGAUUCAAGCCAAUGCUAAAGGUGAAGAGGUGGAUCAUCUAAAAGAAGAAUUGAAAAAGCUGGAAGGCAUCAUCCAGUCCAUGGGAGGUUUCCAGCUUGUUCGCAUUCCCAAGCAAACUUGACUCCAUUCUAUUCCCAUCUCAACUUCUUUUUAUGAUGAUGACAAAAAGGGGGAGAGAUGCGAGAUUUGAAAUCUUUGAACUUUGAACUUAAACUUGUUGAACUUUUAGUUUGUUUUGAUGUGUGACUUGUGAGAGUGCUAGUAUGAACACCUAGAGGGGGGGUGAAUAAGUGUUUAAACUAAACCUUGGCAAAUAUAUGCGGAAUAAAAUAAACUUCGAGUAAAACAAAUGAGUUAAGGAAGAGAAUAAGGACACAAGAUUUAUAGUGGUUUGGCUUAAUCCAGGCCUACGUCCACUCUCCCACGCUAACAGCCUUCUUGGCUGGAUUCCACUAUGCAAUCAAAAAGAGAUUACAACUUCGAGUGCAAACACUUAGUAGAUCACACUAUCUCACUAAGUCACUCUUUUGGUAUUUCUCUCACGAUCACAAACGUUUAAGCUCUCCAAAGACAAGUGUAUGAUCGAAGGUCGCUCAGACUUUGGAAUUAUAAAUUCUACGCCCUAUCUCUUACUUGCUCAUCAGUUCUUCAUCUCCUUAAAUACUCCUCCACUUCCAAACUAGCCGUUGGACAGUAUCCUGAGGAUCGUCUUCCAAUAUACCCAUUGGACAGCUCUGUAUCUAGAAGAUUUGGUAGCCGAUGAGUGACAAAGGUAAAAUCCCAAAUUGAUUCCAAUCGCCCAUACAAACGGAAUCUUGGUUUCCAUAAGUAAAGCUUCUUCGUAUAGAAAGAUCUUGUCUUUAAGAUCCAAUUGUCAAUCAAAUAGAUUGAGUCAAUCAAAUCAAUCUUGAUGUGGAAUCCAAACCAGAUCACUAGCCGUUAUAUGAUUGGGCUUGAGUUACGUUCUGUCGAAUCUGGAUGUAAAGUCUGAGAGCAAUAGACUUUACAAUCUGAGUCUGAGUGCAAUAGACUUUGCAAUCUGAGUCUGAACAUAUUCUGCUUCUGAACAGAUUUAGCUUUAAGGUCUAUACCCAGUUCAGCUUCAGCAUAGAGUCUGUCUUUUGGUUUAUCAUUCACAUUCAAUCUGGAAUUUGUCAGAGUGAGCAGACUUCUGAUGUAGAACAGACUUUGACACUAAAGUCUGGCAGUCUUCAGACUUUGACACAGAAGUCUGGAAAUCUUCAGAAUAUACUUUGGACAUAUGUUACGUUCAGUCUUCUGGUCGUCUUCACACUUUGACAAUAUCCUUUACAUGUUCAAUCAUCUGCAUGGUCUAUUACUUAACCAUUAAACAUGUUAGUAGUCUUUGAUUUAUUUUGUCAUCUUCAAAAUAUCAUAAGAGAUUUCCCUAACAACUUGUGUGUCUGUGUUUGGAUGAGGAUUGACUGAACAUGGAUUUGGAUUUGACUGCUGUUUAUAUUAAGUACUAUUGAUAUCUUAUGAAAGACUAACCUAUUUUCUGUGGUUGCAGAUUCUAGUGUUAUCAUUAAGCUAUUAAUCUUUAUGAGAUAUCCAUAUUUGCUUGAGUAAUGUUUUGCAGGUCAAAGUCAUUCAAAUCUACAGGAAAGUUUUGUCACCAUCAAAAAGGGGGAGAUUGUUGGAGAAAUCUUUCUGGAAUAUUUUGAAGCUGACAAAACAUUUCUAUCAGUCUAGUCUGAAGUUUUGCAGACUCUUCUAUUAAAUUCUGAAGACCUCCGGACUACCAGACUCAAGACUCAAAGUCUAUUCUCAUUGACAGUUACUAAUCCGUUGAAGAAAGGCUAUCCAGAACUACUUCAUUAAGGAGUUUGGCCUUAUCGAUUGGAGAAGAUCUCUUGGCUGGAUAAGACAUAACGGAUUCCUUUAUUCAAAUCAAGAAUGAUUAAAGAUCCGAUGAUUGACGAAGUAUUCCUGGAAGGUUCUACUUAUGGAAACCAAGAUCCUAAUUGUAUGGGCGAGCAGGAUUGAUGGGCUAUCGACAUGUUCCUUUAAUAGCUCGAAUAAUCUUCCUAAUUGAUUUUGUCCAACGGGAGGAUUGGAAGAAUCCCUUUGGUAAGUGCCAACGGGUAGGCACAAAGGAGUAUAAAAGGAAGACGUUCCAGUUGUUCGAGGUGUGCACGAUAGAAGAAUUCCAAAGUCUGAAGCUCUUUGAUUCUUAGUCAAUUCAUUUACUGAGCGAAAUCUUGUACACAAAAGAUAGUCUAUACUUUGAGAUACCUUGAGGAAGUGUGAUAGAAUAUCUACACUGUGGAAUCAAGAGAAAGCAGUGUUGUAAUAUCUCUUUUUGUUCAUAGGGAAAUCCAUCAAGUGGGCUGUCAGUGCAGAAGAGUGGACGUAGGCUUGGAAUAAGCCGAACCACUAUAAACCUUGUGUUCAAUUUUCUCUUCCUUACUCUCCGCUUUACUUUGAUCAUAGUUCGAUUUGUUAACUAAAGGAGAUCUUCUUUUCUGUUGUUAGUCCAGUAUUACUUUCAUAUCUCAAGAAAUUAUUUUUACACCUAUUCACCCCCCUUUAGGUGCUUAUACUAGCUAUAUCAAGGCUGACUAUAAUGCCCUUGUUAAUCUCAUUACAGCAAGAGUGCAAUCUUGGGGACAACAUUUCCUCUCUUUUGCGGGCCGCCUACAGCUCAUUAGGUCAGUCCUUCACUCUAUACAAGUCUUUUGGGCUGGUAUCUUCAUGUUACCUAGAGCUAUACUGGAUCAUAUUGAUCAAAUCUUCAGACAAUUUUUAUGGAAAGGCCCAGGCCUUAGUAGAUGGGGUGUGAAAGUAACUUGGGAAGAGGUAUGCCUUUCGAAAAAAGAAGGAGGACUUGGAAUUCGUGCUCUUCGUGUCUGCAACACGACUGUUAUGCUUAAACACAUUUGGAUUCUAUUUAUGGACAAGGAAUCCCUUUGGUGUAAAUGGAUUCAUUCUACUUACUUAAAAAGGAAGAAUUUUUGGAUAAUUCCUAAGCCCACCAUUUGAUCUUGGGCCUAGAGGAAACUUCUUGCUUUGAGGAAGGAUUUCCACCGUUUCUUUAAUUGGCGAGUGGGACAUGGACAUUCGGUGUCCUUAUGGUUUGAUCCUUGGCACCCUCGGGGUCCCCUAAAUUUGUUCUUCACGGACACUUACAUUUAUCAGUUAGGUUUAUCCAGGUAGGCUACAGUUGCGGAUCUUUUUUCCACACCGGGCCAAUUUACUAAGUUCAUCCUAGAGGCGUGGAGGCAGCCUCUCCCUUCUCUUUCACAGAAGCUUAAUCAGUUUAUUUGGUUGGAGAACACCUUGGAUAUUUUCUCAAUUGCAUCGGCUUGGGAAGCCAUCCGACCAAAGCGUAAUUUGGUACCUUGGUCCUCUUUUGUUUGGAACAAAACUAUUAUGCCGUGGUACCAGUUCCAUCUUUGGCUCAUCACUAGGAACCGGCUAUCUACCCAGGUUCUUUUACUCUCCUAUGAUAGGAUCGAGGAUGGUUCUUGUGCCUUUUGUAAUUCAAGACCGGAUUCUAUUAAUUAUCUUUUCUUUGGUUGUCGAAUUACUACUGGACUUGCUUCAUUUUGGGCUGCGAAAUGCAAUCUUAUUUGGCAAAAUAGGCCAUGGUAGGACACUUUUUUUAUGGGCCCUUGCUCAUCUCUCAAGCGAUGACUUACUCAAUGUAUAGUGAGGUAUUCUUUUGCUGCUAUUUGCCACUUAAUUUGGAAGACAAGGAACAAUAUCUUGUUCCGGGCCGAAGUUCUUAUUGUGCCUGCAUUGAAAAACCAUCUUUUUAAAAUAGUAAGAGAUAAGGCUACAACCUUUAGCUAGGUUGUGGAUGCACCGAGGAAUAGAAGAACCCAACAAAGUUAGGGGCUAGAUCCAGUUAUUUUUGCUUCGGAGGCUGCUGUCACUUGACCUUGAAUUGUUCCCUCAUUGUUUCUUUUGAUAGGUGUCAGUUUCUACCCUAUAUUCCUGUGAGGGUUGCUGUUUCACUGGCUGAUUUCCCUCUUGUUCUUUUUUCCUUUUCUUAUUUGUUGUCAUUGUUUGGCAGCUUCGUUGCCAUUUUGGCUGUUGCUUUCAGUUGGUUGGCAGGUUGUGGUUCCUUUUUCUUGACACCCUUCCACUUGUAUGACUUGUUUGUCAUCAUGAGUGUAAGUUUUUGGUGCCAUUAAUCCUUGCUGUAUAGCUUUUUGGUUAAAAGUCAAUAUAUUUCUUACGUUACCAAAAAAAAAAAAACAACUGAAAAGUUGACUCUCGUUUAUAGACUUUACUUAAGGUCAUCAUGAACACAAAUUUCCUUUCAUUUUAAGGAAGUAUUAUCUUGUCAUUUUCUUCUUAUUUCUAAGACAACAACGCAAAUUGAACUCGGCUAAAAUCGCCAGUUUGGCCCAAAUCUCAUGGUAGUUCGUGGGCAACCAGCAAGUCAUUGUAAUAUUAAAUUGAAUCCAAGCCAAAAAAAAAAAAAAACAAAAGAAUUAAGAAAAGGGUUGUGAUGCCCAUUUGCUAGUUGUCUCAUCACCUUUAAAUUAAUCAAGAAUUUUAAAAUAAAUCUAAGGCUCCAUUAUGUUUCUAUUUUUCUAUUCUUUUAUUCCCCGAAAUUAAAAAAAGAAAAAAAAGAAAUCUAUUUAGUAACGUCAGUUAAUUUUUCUAUUUUACAGAAAGUUGUCAAGGAAUAUAUUUGAAAUAAAAACAAGAAAUAGAAAAAAAUUGCUUCUUAUCUUCGAGAAUAAUUUUUGGAAUAAGUCAUUUUCUUUCUUUUCUUCUUCUUCCCUCUUCUAACUAGUCCAUCGCCCGCCGUCAGUUGCCGUUGGCUCUGGCAGCUAGCCAUGGCCAAUUGUCAGUGUUGGCCCUCACCUUUGCUGCUUGGCGACUAGCUAGAGGAGGAAGAAGAAGAGAGAAAGAAGAAGAAAAAUCUAAAAAAAAAUAUUAAAAAAUUAUAAAAAUUUCUAUGUUAAAAAAAAAAUUAUAAGUCGAACCGAACAAAAUCCUAUUCCUUUUCUAUUUCGAGAAUAGAAUUUUUUUGUGUAGUUAUUAAGGGUGCCCAUAAUAAUCAUUUUAUUUCUAUUUCGGAAUUUCUAUUUCAGAAUUAUUUUUCUGUUUCAAACUUGUAUCUUGAACAAAAAUAUGUUUGGUAACACAAUUUUAUUUUUCUAUUUCUAGAACAAGUUUUUAAUUCAUAAAUAGGUUUAGAAUAAAAAUGAUAAGUAAAAAUUUUUCCAUUCUUUAUUUUUGGAAUAUAAUUGGAAAUAAAAACUCUUCUUAUCGCUUGUCUUCACUACUACCGCCCACCAUCCGUCGCUGCCGCUUGCCAUCGGCUACCCCCUACCAAUCGUUGCCAUUGUUCGCCGUCUGCUGCCUGCCACUGGUCGCCAUUGGUUGCCCCUUGCCAACCACCGCCACUUGGCAGAGAGAUAUUUUGUGUCGUUAUUAAAUGAAUUUCUAUUUUAGAAAAAUAAAAUUUGUGUCAUUAUCAAACGCAUAUUUUUGCUUAGAAAAUCAUCUAAUGAUAUAAAUAUAAAAAUAGAAGAAUCUAUUUUUGUUUCAAAAAUCACUUUCUAACUAGAAUGGUUGUCAUUCACGCUCAAACGUGUUCAUUUACUUAGAAACUAUUUUAGGAAUUAGAAAUAGAAAAAAUUAUUUCCGAAAAGAAACUUAUCCCAGGAGCAGUAAUGUUACCAAAAGCAUGCUAAUUCACUAGUUAAAGCUGAACCAUUUCUUUUGGGAACCAGCCUCUAUUUGAUUCAAGCCCAAGAUUGGGGGCUUUAUCAUUUUUUAUCUUGGAAAGAUUCCCCUUUUAUUACCUUAUGGAUGAGCGCCAGUAGCGCUCUUUAACUAAAACAAAGAAAACAAACAUUGUUUCUCUAGAGUGUGUUUGGAAGGUUUGCUCUCAUGAUACCAUACUCAUGCGGAAGGGUCAGGGAUGCACAACAUUAGCACCGAAAACGUGACGAAGUCGGGAUGCAGCAAGAGAAGGAAAAGGUAAUUUUAAUUGGUUCGAAUUUCAGGUGGCAGGUGAGAGUGUCGAGCCGCUAAGAGCAAUGAAUUGUGUGGAGAGUUUUUUAUGGUUCAACGGCGGAAAUCCCAGAAUCGGAAAUGCAGAAGUUUAGCAGUGCCCAAGUAUAGAUGAAAUGGAAGUGCAAAUGAUCAAAAGUCUCCAAAUGAGCUAGUGGCUUGAUAUUUAAAGUGAAAGGGUUAGGGUAAUUAACAGGCGCAAUGACACCAUGGGAAAUCGACGUUAGAUAGAAUGCCGCCUGCCACUAUUUUCCCUCUGAUCUACCUCCUAUAGAAUCAUUAUAUGCUAUUUGUCAAUUGUCUUCCGCUGGGGCUUGGAAAGAGUCGAAUUUAGGACCAAUAGCUUUGAUAUCAUGUGAGAUUUCAUGGGAUUGUUUAUAAUUAUUCUAAAAGCUUAAGUUGUUACAUGAAUGUGUGAUUUAUUAUUUAAAUAUUCUAAAACCAAGGAAGCUGAGAAACCUUCCUGCAUUAAUAAUCAUAUAUUACACCUCGCGCCAUCCAAAUUGACAUACAUAGGACCAUCCAAGUGAAGAAAUGCAAAUUACUGAAUUAGCUGUGGAGGAGCCGCCGUGCUCAACCCAUUAAUUUUUCCACCUAAAUCAUAGUUAAGGUCGGAGUCCUCACCCAAGCAUGCAAGUGAUGAAGAGAUCUGGACACCAUCCAUCACAGAAGAUUUGUGAUUACCGCUGUUUUGUAUCAGGUGGGUGAAGUGACACAUCCAAGACGAUUCUCACGAAUGUGAAGUUAUUCCUGAUUCAAAAGGGGUGGUCAUCCCCGUUUUUCCUCCAAAAGAGGUACGCCUUCCAUCAUUAGGGCGUGAAGAGAACUCGUUUGAACUUCGUAGAGUGGUCGUGUUACUGCUCGAUGUGGUAUGCCUUCCAGGAUGAACAUUCUUGUCAGGAUAUAAUCCUAAUCUUGAAUCAUGAGUAUGUUCUUACGAAAACCAUUGUUAAUGAAACCCGUAGAUGAGAGGAAGACAAGGCAAGCAAAACGACAUGAAUGAGAUAUCUACCUCCUCCUGCCAAUUCGCUAGGGAGUUUCUUGCUGCCUAGUGAAGCAUAGCCAAUUUGAUUAGAAUUUUUCCUCCAAGAAAAUCGGCAAAGAGAAUUGUUAACAAGUAAUUCAAAUGAGGAGAAACAUGAUGAUGCAAUGGAGAAAAAAAUAUAACAAUAGUUCUUCUGCAUUUAAAUCAGUCAUGCCUCGAAUCUUGCGAGAACUGCCGUUCAAACCCUUGCUUAUCAUGAGCUGGUUCAACAAAAUUAGCCUUGAAAACACAUGGUCCAGAGCAUAUUACAUAUUUCGCAUAUUAAUGAUGUGAAUGAUAACCAUUCCAUUCCACAAAUCACUUCUUAAUUAGAAAUUAAUUUUUUAUUUCUAUUUCUUAGAUGAGUUUCUCUGCAAAUGAUGCAUUUGAUAACAAUAUAAAAUUUAUAUUCCCAGAAUGGAAAUUUAUUUGAUAAUGACAUAAAAUUUCUGCCUUCCGGGUGAUCGACGGCGAGAGGUGGCCAAUGGGUGGCGGAUGAUUGAAGGCGAGCGAUUGACGAAUGGUGGCAGGUAAUUGGGGGUGGGCGACUAACGACUGACUAGUUAGUAUCAAGGGCAAGCAAUGAGAAGAGUUUUUAUUUUUAUUUUUGUCCCCAAAUAGAAAAGUAAAAAAAUUUUACUUCUAAUUUUUUUCCAAACCUAUUUUUGAAGUAAAUAUUUAUUCUAUGAAGAGAAAAAUAAAUUUGUAUCACCAAACGGAUUCCUAUUGUAAACCCGUUCCUGAUAUUAGAAAUUAUAAAACUAAAAAAGUAAAAUAAUAAUCGCGCGCGCCCUAAAAAGUUGGAUAUUAGAACCAAAGAAAAACCUAACUCCAUGACCGCCACUUCCGGUGAGAUUCUAAAGCCUCCCAGCCGAAAGAAUGGAUGAGGUCUUUUUUUUUUUUUUUUCUUUUUUCAUUCCAUCUAUAUAUAAGGGGAGAAAUCAAAGCACUCAAGAAUCCUCAUAGCAAUUUAACAAAGGAAAUAACGAGAAACCAUGUUAUACAGCCAAACAAACGAAAAAGAGCACAAAUAGAGCAGAGGGAUUGCUGCAGCACAAAGAGUUAAGGAGCCAACAUACAAGAGGAGGAAGAUUACUGUCCCAAAAGAUCCAAGCAACUGGGUUCCAUCUUGCUAUUUGGAUUCCUUGGAUCGCACAAUUUUAUCGGGUAAAAAACUGAGAUUCCAACAAUGAUGAUUAAGGAGGCCAUCAUCGAGCAAGGAACAGAAGAACUUCAAACCUCGAAAGAAGUUCAAACGUCCAAACAACGUACACAAAAGCAAGAGGACCACAGAAAGAAAUUAUCGACCCCUUAUAAGACAAGCACACAAUGAACGGGGACGUCAAGGUGUCAUUUAGUCAAAACUGUUGGGGACUGUUGUCUAGAUGGUAAACUGGCAACUCUUAAAAUUAGCAUUGUCUACACAGAGAAUUUCGAGGAGUGCAAUAGUUAUUUCUUCCAAAAGAACACAAACCUUAAUUGGGGGACUCUUAUGAUACAUGUUGAUUCUUUGGACAUUGAUGCGAUGCUUUGCAUCCUUCACGAAACAUAUUGUAACAACAAUAUGAGAACAAUAUGCCCACAUAAGUAGAUACACAUAUCAAGAUGAAUAUCUACAAAAGAUAAAAGGACCUUGUUGUGAAGCAUUACAGUGUGUUUAUAAACUCCAUUCGUAUCAGAUUGCGGUUGGUAAAUGACUUUCUGAGAUAGCAUGAUAUCAUUUAUGAUAUUAUGAUGCUCGAUAUCUUUCCAUAGAAGAACCAUCCGGAAAUUGAGAGAGAUAGAGAGAGCUAUAAAUUUUGUUGAAGCUAGUACAACACAUGGAUAAUUGUAAUAGUGACUUCAUACAAACAAAUCAAGUUUUCUGACUUUGAGAGGGAAAAGUGCUAAGGGCAGACGCCCAUUUGGCGAAAGAAAAUAGUACGUUCAUUUAUCACUGGGCAUCAAUGUCACAGCUGCUUGUAUCAUAACUUUGCUUUGGUUGUUUGCGCCUAUGUGGAAAUCAAGUGGUUUACGAGCAAUUCAGAAUGUGGGAGACAUAGUUACACGAGUAUCAGACUGAAUACCCCAAGCAUCUGACGAAGGGCCGGUAUCAGUGAGCAAAUUUGGCAUUUUCUACUCAUGCCUUCACCUCUUCAUAUAGGCCACAACUCACUUAUGAGUAGAAUUCUCACUUAAGAUGCUGACGUUCCAUUACUAAGGGAUAUCUCUGAGCCUAAAAUAAAUAAAUGCAAUUUAAAAAAUCAUGCAAACCAAAAAAAAAGUCAAAAAAAGAAUAUGAAAGGCUGUAAAUUUCCUCACUCGCAAAGUACCAGAGUUUGGUGUCCAAUUUUAAGGACUGGACCUCCAUGCUUGUGACCGAGAGCAGCCCACAAGCUGCCAAAUCCACUUGAUAAAGUGGAAUAACCUUUAAAGCCUUAUUAAGGUCCACAGGCUGCAAAAGCAAUUAGUGUCUUACCGAUUUAUGGAUAAAAACAAGUACGAUACCGACAUAAAACAGGUCCGUGCGUUUUUUAAGUGUACAUCACGGAGGAGGUUAGGAUUUAGAUGUCGGAGUCAUUUUAUUUGCUAUAUGAAAAAUCGGAUUACUCUAUAAUUCGCACUUUCUAUCAUAACUGACAUGGAUACCACACUUUGCCAUUAUUGAUAUUUCCUAUAUAAUCCAAAAAUGUAACCGCACAAUAUAAGAUGGUCGAAAAUGUUGACCCAAUCAGAACUAAUGGUACUGGGUAGGUAAUUGCUCCCCGAUUCCUAGCUUGUUUGAUUAAUAUUUUUUCUAAAAUUCCCCUAAACAUCGAGAAAAUAUUCUUCCCAUAUGCAAUUUGUCUAUGCAAUUUUCAAUAACUGAAAGAAUGUAAAAAAAAAAAAAUCAUAUUAUCCACACUGCUUAAAGUGAAAAUGCAGCCACUGGGGUUGCCCAAGUGGCACACUUCUCAAGUGGGAAGGGGAAGGCGGAAAACAUUUUUGCCAUUUACAUGUUCUUCUCAUCUCAUUUGACCCCUUUAAAUGAAAUAUCCUGAAACUCAUACAAACAUGCACAUCUAACACACACAGUGGUGAAACCUACUAUUCUAUAGAGAUACUUGCAUACGGAUCCGCAUCGAAGUCAAGCUCUAGGAAUGCCUGAUCAUCUUCCCAAAGAUUGUUAAUAAUUAUAUGUGUGCCGAAUUCUCCCAUCACUUUAAACUGUAGUAACGUAAUAAAUCAAAAGGUUAAGGAUUCAUAUUGUGAAAAAUCCCUUAAUUGGUGGAGUCAACAUAAAGAAUCGGCCGAUAAUUACGAAUCCAUAGACAAUGUAAAAUUGAAAAGAUCUAGAAGUACAUAAAGUGCCAUUCUUUGGUAUUUUUUUAAUGAUAAAUUAAUCGUUUAAAGAGAGAAAAUUGUUAUUAUUACUAAGGAUUUUGUUAAUAAAUGUUUCCAGGACACUUAUUAAUCAUCUCAAUAAAAAAGUUUGUCAUAUCCAACACACUAUGUUUUUUGUAUGGUAAAUAUAUCGGAAACGAAAAACAUUUCCUUAUCAAGUAUCGAAAAAAAGUGUCCUGGUGGACAUACUGCCAAUCAGAAGACACAACAUAUAGGAUUUUGUUAAUGAGUGUUCCUGCAUAAUAUAUGAGCAAAUGUUCAAUUCUCAAAACAUUGGUUAUGCAUUACAAGAGGAGUUAGUGUAUUGAGAAUUACAACAUAAUAUGCAAAUGAACACUUUAUCUAUUAAUAAUUCGUCCUUAAUCAAUUCGAUCCCAACCUCAAAGGGAUGCUCAAUAAGUUUGCGGUUAGCAAAUACUUCUCAAUCGGUAUCUAGGUCAUUCAUUUAAUGGACCACCCUCACAUAGAAACACACUAUUUUGCCACGACAUCUUCAAUCCGUGUUCACUAUAUCUUCUUCUAUUCUCCCAUAAAAAUUCUCUUAUUAGUUUAUAUGACAUUGUAUAUUUCUUUAGAUCUAAACAUGGGCAUAGGUCAAUAUAUGACCGUGAUUGGCGUUGACAUGAACAACUUUUCUCAAAAUGCUGUGCAAAUACCGACCUUUCAAGCCCCCAUUAUGGUAAGAUGGGUGAGGGCUAUUUCUUGAGUGGUGAGAAUCAAGUGGGUUGUCAAGAUGCUAUUGACCAGCAAGGAUCAAGUGGCAAUGAUACUGGCCUUAAACUUGGCGAGAUACGAGAAUAUUUACGUGAAUUGGAGGUGGAUGCCACCAAGUUCACAGACAAAACUGUUCAAUUUGGAUGGGUUCAUUCCACCAAAUGUUUAGGAAGGACCGCUUCAAUAUGAUUUUUUUUCUCAACCUAGUACUCUCUUUAUUAUGGUAAAUCCAAUCUCUACUCUGCAAUCCAUGAAGAUCAGUCCCUAUUCGAGCAUGACAUCAACCACUUCUUUCAUUAUGUGGUACAAAAUAGUUGGUUUUACUUCUAAAAUUAAAAUGGAAUUGUACAUGUAGAAUUUCAAAAGCUUGACUAUAAUUAACUUUCUCUUAUUAUCGUAAAAGCAAAAGACUCAACACACACCCAUGAUGGAGCCCUUUCUACUCUACACCCCAAACAUGAAGCCCUUGCUCUUUUAUAUAGGUGGCCAAAGUUGGGGUUUAAACAAACUUUCUGGCCUUCCACAUUCUUUUAAUACAAAUAUCUAUUUUUUUUAACAACUAGAUGGAGUAUUCUAGAGAAGGCUAGAGGUGAUGUGGAGGCUUUAUAUUGGGUUUUCUUUGAUGAUGUGUGACUAAGAAAUAUGGAGAGAAUUCUAGAAGACAGAGAAGAUGGUGCUUUCUUCAAUAGUGCAUUUAUUGUCUUACUAUCGAUAUUAUUUCUUCUUGAGUAGGAUAAAAUUAGAUAAACAAUCACGUCAAUUUGACUAAAUCUUUUGAUUUCCAAUUUAUACCUAUCUCAGAUAUUUUUCCUUAUUUAGUUUAUAUUUUAGUAAUCCUCUUAUUCAGUGCAUUAUGUUUCUCACAUUUUAGUUGUAAAUAAAAAUUAAUCUCAAUGUUUGCAAUUGCAAAAGUAAGAGUUACAUGGUCAAGAUUUUAUUAUGAAAGCACAUGGCCUCACACCAAAGCGAUUUCAUCCGACUAAAAAUUAAAGGUAAAUGCCAAACACUACAUAUAACACCUACGUAUCAUCGAUUUGGUGUAAUUAUGUUCUUUUUCCAUGUUGAAAUCUCAUAGAUUAGGCCAAUGAAUAAUGAUAUUUCGCAAUUGAACUUUAAGGAGUCAUGAGCAUUCCAUGAGAUAAAAUAAAAAAUGCUAUAACAAAAUAUAUCAAAACUUGGCCGGAUUGGUUGCAAUAAAAUUGUUAAUUGAUGGAUACACUCUAAACACUACAUAUAACAUCUAUGUAUCAUUGAUUUGGUGUAAUUAUGUUCUUUUUCCAUGUUGAAAUCUCACAUAUUAGGCCAAUGAAUAACGAUAUUUCGCAAUUGAACUUUAAGGAGUCAUGAGCAUUCCAUGAGAUAAAAUAAAAAAUGCUAUAACAAAAUAUCAAAACUUGGCCGGAUUGGUUGCAAUAAAAUUGUUAAUUGAUGGAUACACUCCAAACACUACAUAUAACAUCUACGUAUCAUCGAUUUGGUGUAAUUAUGUUCUUUUUCCAUGUUGAAAUCUCAUAGAUUAGGCCAAUGAAUAACGAUAUUUUGCAAUUGAACUUUAAGGAGUCAUGAGCAUUCCAUGAGAUAAAAUAAAAAAUGCUAUAACAAAAUAUCAAAACUUGGCCGGAUUGGUUGCAAUAAAAUUGUUAAUUGAUGGAUACACUCGUAUAUCAUAUAAGAUUGCAAGUACAAGGAUCGAUGUAUUAAAACUACCCAACUAUUAAAUUGGAUUACUCCGCACUUUAUAUUGCAUGUAAUUAAUUAUGUAAAAGAUAAACAAAAAUCUGUGAGGUUGUUACUCUGUUAUGGUUCAAUAAAUGAGUUUUGAUAUUUUUUAUAAGGCUGUCAAAUGAAUGGGUCAGGUUGGGUUUGGGUCAAGUCAAAAAUGGUCCAACCCAUAUUGACCCAUAUAAUCUGUUUAGACCUAUUUUCAUGCAAUGUAAACUUGAUGACCCAUACCCGACUUGACUAUACCCGACCGAACCCAUAUUACCGAAACAUAUUAAUAUUCAACUCAAUUUAUGUUAAAUUAGCCCCACUCAUUUGAUUAACUUUAAGCUCUUCAUAUAUAACAUCAAUUUAAAAAUUAUAUUGACAUUUAACUAAACCUAAGAAAGCUUAUUUCUUAUGAUUUUUUUCAAAAUGAUAUUGCUAAAAUACUUUCAUGCAAUACAAAUUUAAUUGACAAUUUUUAUAAUUUUUUUAAAAAUCGAAUUUUUAGUUAUUUUUUUAAAAAUUGAAUUUUUAAUUAUUUUUAUUUUAAAAUAUACUUUUUAAUUUUCUUCUUCUUAUGCUGGCCAUCGACCACAUUGACGGCCGGCAAUUGGCCACAGGCAAGCUCAAGAUUGGCGAGAUUAAGCUCGCCCGACACUGGCAAGCUUGAACCUCCACAAAUCGGUGAGGCUCGACCCUUGCCACACGUCAAUGAGGUCUCGGCCUCGCUAGAUAAGCAAAGAGCUCAAUCUCACUUGAUGCCGACGAGCUCAAGUCUUGCCAAAUUGGCGAGACCUCAACCUUGCCAAAUCAACGAGCUCAACCUUACUCGACGCCGGCAAGCUUGAGUCUCACCAGAGGUAUUGCAAAUAACAAUUAUGUACCCUUCUAAGAUAUGUCAUAUUUUUUGAUCGUUGUAAUAUAUUGAAUGAGUAAUCCAACAAUGUAAGGCCCCUUUUUUGCCCUACAACAUGUGCAUGAUUGACUUGUGAAAAGAUUAAGGAAAUUCUAGUUUUUUGGGGUCGGGUGGGAAUUCUGGCUUUGCUAAAUCUUUUCAAAGCAAUUUUAAUUCUCGAGCAGAAUUUUGAUCUGCUUUUCGUUUUCCUUCGUCAUGCACUAGAGGUGAAUUUGGAGCCUUGGGGCUUGAACCCAAAGAGCAUGUACCGAACCUGCAAAAGAGUUGCUUAGCUGAUGCAGAAUGAUUUUUGUUCUGAAGUUCUUCUCAUCUCUAUUUGCAUCAUAUGCUAUGACAUUUGAGGUGGUCUGGUUGUCUCUUACCAAAGAAAUCAGUCACCAAAGCUGUGGAAAAGAAAUUAAUGAAACUCUCAAGAACUUUGCACUAUUUACGAUGUGCCGCGACUCUUUUACAAAAAUACAUUGACAAAAAUGGAAUGUGGUGCGAAAAUCAUAAAUGCUGAAUGAGGAUUAGCUCGCGCUUUGGUUUAGCAUCUCAUUGUACUGAAGGUAAGAAAUUUGCCUUUGCAACUUCGUUUGUUCAUAGAAUUUAGCUAUGAACUGCUCUGCUCUUGUGUCGAUCCCUCGAUCUUCCUCAAUUUCCACUCUUCCAUCCUCCGCCUGCUCCUCAUCGAAAUGAGUUCCCUCUUCGCCUCCGUUUUCAAGGAAGCUCUGCCUCACGGCUUCAUACCCAUAGCACAGUCGGUCGUCCUCGUCAAACUCUGGGUCAAAAUCGACGUGGGGGUUUAUGCACGGUAUGUGCGGCAAGGGAAACCGCAUCGGCCCCGGGCGAUGCAUCUUCACGUGGACAACCGGGGUCUUAUCAAAGGAGAGCUCGCGCUCCCUGUACCAGAUCUGGCUGCGCGGCGUCGCCUGGCCGAUGGUCUUGAGGAACUUGGGCACGAGGCGGAGCUGCAACUUGAACGCCCCGCCUUUCCUCGCCCAGAGCAGCGCCAGGCGCAGGAGGUUCCACGCGCGGCGAGAAACCCCGGACGUCUUCCUCGGCAUCUUUUCUCACUCUCUAGCUGAGUAGUGUUUGCUUUGAGAAAGUCUUGCAGCUGCAAAAGGAUAAAUGAGAGAAGAUGAAAAGAGAGUGUGCAGGGUGUGAGAAGACUGAUGAAAUGGGGAUUAGCUUUGUAUGGGGCCUUUCUCAGAUUUUGCUGAGCUGGAUGUGUACAAAAAGGAUCAGAAAUCUGUCUCUGUUUUAGGAUGAUCUGUGAGAAUGAGCAGAGCUUGGAAGGUGUUUAUAUAUGGAUGGGAAACUUGUUUGGCUUCGUGUCUGGAUGUGAAUAGUGGGCGGCGGGAUCUGGGGACGCAACGCGGUCGGACGUGGUGUAGCUGGAUCAUUGUUUGUUUUCAGAUGUUUAUUACUUUAUUUCUCCGCAUUCUCACUGAUGGGCAUCUCGAAAUUUGGUGAGUCCGAUGAAUCUUGAUAAGUGAGGAUAAUUGUCCUAAAAAUCAUAAUUUAUGUUACAAUAGCUAAUUUAAGUCUAAAAAAUUUCGAUUAUGCAAAUAUAAUAUUGAACCUAUUGUACAAUAACCAAUUUGGUCAUAAACCUUUUAAUCAUGCUAAUUUAAUUAUAAAUAUUUUGACUAUUUACCAAUUUAGUUCUAAAUUUUUAAAACGAGUCGCCAACAUAGUCCUUUCGGAUAAUUUUUGCCGGAUAUCACUCAAAUACUAGAUUGACAAAUUAUUAAAAUGUUGAAAAUUGAAUUGACAAAUCGUCAAUACGUUUAUGAAUAAAUUAGCGUAAUUAAAAAUUUUAUAAUUAAAUUGUAAUUAAAUUAACAUAAUUUAAAAUUUAAAAUUAAAUUGGCCAUCGUUAUUGAACAAUUUUCCCUCAAUAAGUGUAUGGGAAUGUUCCAACCACUCAUGUGUAUUGGACACGACUCUUAAAAAGGGCUGCAGGUGGGCUCUCAAAUUACUUUGAGUUGAAGUCAUAUAAUUGAAUGGAUGAAAUGUUGAUUAUAAAAGCUCUUAACCCCUUAAUUCACAGCUAUUUUUUUUUGUCAGAAUUAACAGCUAUUCAAAGUGCCGCAAAAGCAUUUUUUUUAAAAGCAGUGUGUUGACCUUUGUUAUCAAGGCUCUUGUUAAGCGAUCUACUAAAAAAUCCUUUACAUUUUCCAAUGAUUGAUUGUUUUAAUGUUAUAUGCAAUGAAUAUAAUAAAAAAAAUGAACCAUUUCAAAUAAAAUUAGCAGGAGAAGUGAAUAUUAUAUAUUUGAAGCGACUCUUGUCUUCGUUUUUUUGCUGUUGUUAGUUUUCCCUAUUUUUUGGCCAAAUUGAUGAUGUGCUUGUAAUGUCGUCAUGAUAUUUACUUUUGCUGGUAGUUGGGGAACUUAAAAAAGAAAAAAAAAAGAAUGAAUAUUUUUUUUUUAAAGUUAAUAUCCUGAAAAAUCCUAAAUAGGUACAUGUGUGACAAAUUUACUCAAGACUAAUUUUUUACCAUGAAAAACCUCAAACUAGUACAUCUGUGACAAAUUUACCCCAAUCGACCAUAAAAAAACCUGAAAUCGGUAUACCUGUACCAAAUUUACCUCAACCUAAUUUAUUUAAUUACCAAAAAUCCUAAAUUGGUACAUUUGCGACAAAUAUACCCUCCAUUAAAUUGGAUUAAUACCACAAAAAAUCACAAAAAUUGUAUAACCGUGACAAAUGAAGAGUAGAAUCGUAAAUCGGUAUCCAAUUAACUGUCGCAUGUUAUUCAACUUAGUAAUUUGAUAGUAAAAUUUGCGACCAAAAAAAAAUUUGAUAGUAAAAUUGAACGGAAAUUAACAUAGUGUUAAUUUGUCAUAUGUGUAUCAGUUUAGGGUAAAUUUGUCAAAGAUUUACCAGUAUUGGGUUUUUUUAUGGUAAAAAAAUUAGUUUUGGGUAAAUUUAUUAUAAGUGCUUAGUUUGAGGUUUUUUAGGAUAUUAACCUCUUUUAUAUAUAUAUAUAUUGAAGGGGAUAAAGUCCAAAUGUUAUACUAUAAUUCACCUAACGAAACCAAAUUCAUUGGAGUGAACAUUUUUUCUCAUCUUGCUUUAUCUUUCACAUUCACUCAAAUUAAUAUUUUUUUUCCUUCUCAAUUGAUCUUACGGAUGAAAUUCCAAGAUUCUGGCAAAACUUCCUUUUAAAAGAUCUUUAUCUCCUAUCCAAAUGCGAGAAGGAUCCAACAAGCAAAUCCUCAACGUACCAAAUAGUCAUCCUUUGAUCUAGGAGAUUUAUUUGUACUAUCAUCAAGAUAUAUCGAUCUAAUAACAAUGUCUAAGUUGAUCUAAUUUUUAACUAACUUUGCAUUUGAAUCAUGAAAAUUGUCUAAGUCAAUGCAAGUUUUGUCAUGUACGACAGUAUAUACUAACCAAACCACUAACGAUUUAUUGUCAAAAUUGGCCGAAAGAACUAAAUUGGCAAAUUGUUAAAAGAAUUAAGAAUAAAUUGAUAAAUUAUCGAAUGAUUUAUGACUAAAUCGGAACAAUUAAAAUAUUUAUGGAAAAAUUAAUAAUUCUAAAAAAUUUUAGGACUAAUGUAUCACAAUUAAAAGAUUCUGAAUUGAAUUAAUGACAGUACAAUAUAGAUUUAUGAUUUUUUGAAUAAUUUUUCUCAAAAUUUCAGGUCGUCCUUAUGAAGUUCUGCCCCCCCCCCCCCCCCCCCCUUUUUUUUUUUUUUUUUUUUUUUUAAACUUAAUUCCCCCCUUUUCCCUUUAAAAAACCCGGGGAAACACACGGCGACAUCACAUUCUUUCACUAGGAAGCCAAUCAUGGAUCAUGACCCCGUGAAUGGUGGGCAUUAACAAUCUGGCCCCACAUUUUAAAUCACAAAAUACUAAACAAAGGUUGAGGGCUUUUGUCCAAGUAAACGGUUGUUGAUCCUAGAGAGAGAGAGAGAGAGAGAGAGAAGAAUGAUGGGCUGUACUGUUGCCUGGAUUCUUCUAAACCAUGUUAGGAAACUUCACCUAUUGAUAGGAUGCUUCGUUUUUUUCCAAGUGAUUAUAAGCCAAGACCUUUCAAGUCAACAAGUAAUUAUUUAUAAUACAAGUAGUAGUUAAAGUCCAAAAAAAAUACAGCAUAAAGAGGGAGAAAAUUGACAACCCAGGAAUCUAUAGUUUUAUGUAUUUCGGAUUGAUUUCUUAACAUUUUAUUUGGUUUGUGUAGUUCAUGCAUUUUGACUUUUUUUUUUUCAUUUAAAACACUUCAAAACUCUUAUCUUCUGCCACCCAAUAUAACUUUUCCAUAAAUUUAUUUAAUAAUAUUUUAAAUUUUAGUGGAAUUUUUUUAUUGAUCAAAAUAAAAUCUUCAAUUCUCAAUUGAUCAACAACUAAGAGGUCAUCAUGAAUACAAAUUUCUUUUCAUUUUAAGGAAGUAUUAUCUUGUCAUUUUCUUCUUAUUUCUAAGACGACAACGCAAAUUAUAAGCGCCAGUUUGGCCCAAAUCUCAUGGCAAUUCACAGGCACCAGCAAGUCAUUAUAAUAUGGGUUAAUACCUUAAAAAACCCUAAACUAGUAUACAUGUGACAAAUUUACCCAAAACUAUUUUUUUAACCAUGAAAAACUUCAAAUUGAUACAUCUAUAAUAAAUUUAACCCGAUUGACCAUAAAAAACUAUAAACUGGUACAUUUAUGAAAAAUUUAUCCUAAACUAAUUUAUUCGACCACAAAAAACCCCAAACUGGUAAAUUUAUGAUAAAUAUACCCUUAGCUAAAUUAGAUUAAUACCACAAAAAAAUCACAAAAAUUGUAAACUGUGACAAACAGAAUGUAAAAUUCCAAAUUGAUAUAUCAGUCAACUGUCACAUGUCAUUUAACUUAAUAAUUUGACAGUAAAAUUUAACGAAAACUAACAGAGAGUAAAUUUAUGACAAAUGUACCAAUUUGGGGUAAAUUUAUCAAAGGUAUAUCAGUUUGGGGAUUUUGUUGGUCAAAAAAAUAGUUUAGGGUAAAUUUGUUAUAGGUGUACCAAUUUGGAGUUUUUCAGGGUAUUAACCCUUAUAAUAUUAAAUUGAAUCCAAGCCAAAAAAAUAAAAUAAGAAAAGGGCUAUGAUGCCCAUUUGCUAGUUGUCUCAUCACCUUUAAAUUAAUCAAGAAUUUUAAAAAUAAAUCUAAGGCUCCGUUUGGUAACAUUCCUAUGUUUCUAUUUUUCUGUUCUAUUAUUCCCUAAAAUUAAAAAAAAAAAAUCAUUUGGUAUCGUCGGUUAAUUUUUCUAUUUCACAGAAAGUUGUCAAGGAAUAUAUUCGCUUGUCUUCACUGCUACCGCCCGCCAUCCGUCGCUUUCGCCUGCCAUUGGCUACCCUCUACCAAUCAUUGCCACUGUUUGCCUCUUGCUGCUUGCCAUCGGUCUAUCGCCUCUCGCCAUCCACCGCCACUUGGGAGGGAGAUAUUUUGUGUCGUUAUCAAACAAAUUUUUAUUUUAGAAAUAUAAAUAUUGUGUCAUUAUCAAAUGCAUAUUUUUGCUUAGAAACUCAUCCAAUGAUAUAAAUAUAAAGAUUAGAAAAAUCUAUUUCUAUUUCAGAGAUCAAUUUCUGACUAGAAUGGUUAUCAUUCACGCUCAAACAUAUUCAUUUACUCAGAAAUUAUUUUAGGAAAUAGAAAUAGAAAAAAUUAUUUCUAAAAAGAAACUUAUUCCGAGAACAGUAAUGUUACCAAAAGCACCAUAAUUCACUAGUUGAAGCUGAACCAUUUCUUUUGGGAACCAGCCUCUAUUUGAUUCAAGCCCAAAUUGAGGGCUUCUAUCAUUUUUUAUCCUGGAAAGAUUCCCCUUUUAUUGCCUUAUGGAUGAACACCAGUAGUGCUCUUUAACUAAAACAAAGAAGCCAAACACUGUUUCUCUAGAGUGUGUUUGGAAGGUUUGCUCUCAUGAUACCAUACUCAUGCGGAAGGGUCGAGGAUGCACAACACUAGCACCGAAAACGUGAUGAAGUUGGGAUGCAGCAAGAGGAGGAAAAGGUAAUUUUAAUUGGUUCGAAUUUCAGGUGGCAGGUGAGAGUGUCGAGCUGCUAAGAGAAGUGAAUUGUGUGGAGAGUUUUUUAUGGUUCAACGGCGGAAAUCCCAGAAUCGAAAAUGCGGAAGUUUAGCAGUGCCCAAGUAUAGAUGAAAUGGAAGUGCAAAUGAUCAGAAGUCUCCAAAUGAGCUAGCGACUUGAUAUUUAAAGUGAAAGGGUUAGGGUAAUUAACAGGUGUGAUGACACCAUGGGAAAUCGACGCUAGAUAGAAUGCCACUGGCCACUAUUUUCCCUCUGAUCUAUCUCCUAUAGAAUCAUUAUAUGCUAAUUGUCAAUUGUCUUUCGCUGGGGCUUGGAAAGAGUCGAAUUUAGGACUUACAGUUUUGAUAUCACGUGAGAUUUCAUGGGAUUGUUUAAAAUUAUUAUAAAAGUUUAAGUUUGGUUACAUGAAUGCGUGAUUUAUUAUUUAAAUAUUCUAAAACCAAAGAAGCUGAAAAACCUUCCUGCAUUAAUAAUUAUAUAUUACACCUCGCGCCAUCCAAAUUGACAUACAUAGGACCAUCCAAGUGAAGAAAUGCAAAUUAUUGAAUUAGCUGUGGAGGAGCUGCCGUGCUCAACCCAUUAAAUUUUCCACCUAAAUCAUAGUUAAGGUCGGAGUCCUCACCCAAGCAUGCAAGCGAUGAAGAGAUCUGGACACCAUCCAUUACAGAAGAUUUGUGAUUACCGCUGUUUUGUAUCAGGUGGGUGAAGUGACACAUCCAAGACGAUUCUCACGAAUUUGAAGUUAUUCCUGAUUCAAAAGGGGUGGUCAUCCCCGUUUUUCCUCCAAAAGAGGUACGCCUUCCAUCAUUAGGGCGUGAAGAGAACUCGUUUGAACUUCGUAGAGUGGUCGGGUUACUGCUCAAUGCAGUAUGCCUUCUAGGAUGAACAUUCCUGUCAGGAUAUAAUCCUAAUCUUGAAUCAUGAGUAUGUUCUUACGAAAACCAUUGUUAAUGAAACCCGCAGCUGAAAGGAAGACACGGCAAGCAAAAUGACAUGAAUGAGAUAUCUACCUCCCCCUGCCAACUCGCUAGGGAGUUUGUUGCUGCCUAAUGAAGCAUAGCCAAUUCGAUUAGAGUUUUCCCUCCAAGAAAAUCGGCAAAGGGAAUUGUUAACAAGUAACCCUAAUAAGGAGAAACAUGAUGAUGGCAAUGGAGAAAAAUAUAACAAUAGUUCUUCUGCAUUUAAAUCAGUCACGCCUCGAGUCUUGCGAGCUCAAGUCUCACCAGGUCGGUGAGGUAUUGCUAAGAACAAUUCUGUACCCUUCUAAGAUAUGUCGUAUUUUUUCAUUGUUGUAUUAUAGUAAAUUAGUAAUCCAACGAUGUAAGGCCUUUUUUUUCUCUACAAGAUGUGCAUGAUUGACUUGUGAAAAGAUUAAGGAAAUUCUAGUUUUUUUGGGGUCGGAUGGGAAUUCUGGCUUUGCUAAAUCUUUUCAAAGCAAUUUUAAUUCUCGAGCAGAAUUUUGAUCUGCUUUUCGUGAUCCUUCGUCAUGCGCUAGAGGCGAAUUUGCAGCCUUGAGGCUUGAACCCAAAGAGCAUGUACCGAACCUGCAAAAGAGUUGCUUAGCUGAUGCAGAAUGAUUUUUGUUCCGAAGUUCUUCUCAUCUCUAUUUGCAUCAUAUGCUAUGACAUUUUAGGUGGUCUGGUUGUCUCUUACCAAAGAAAUCAAUCACCAAAGCUGUGGACAAAAAAUUAAUGAAACUCUCAAGAACUUUGCACUAUUUACAAAGUGCCGCGACUCUUUUACAAAAAUACAUUGACAAAAAUGGAAUGUGGUGCGAAAAUCAUAAAUGCUGAAUGAGGAUUAGCUCGCGCUUUGGUUUAGCAUCUCAUUGUACUGAAGGUAUGAAAUUUGCCUUUGCAACUUCAUUUGUUCAAAGAAUUUAGCUAUGAACUGCUCUGCUCUUGUGUCGAUCCCUCGAUCUUCCUCAAUUUCCAC
rnacentral:lncRNA from 1 species